rnacentral:rRNA from 1 species
GACGUAGGUCCCGAGCGUUGCCCGGAUUUACUGGGCGUAAAGUGCGCGUAGGCGGUUCGGCAAGUCGUCCGUGAAAGCCCGGGGCUCAACCCCGGGAGGCCGGGCGAGACUGCCGGGAUAGAGGACGGCGGAGGAGGGUGGAGCGGCCGGAGUAGCGGUGAAAUGGGUAGAUACCGGCCGAAAGCCCGAUGGCGAAGGCAACCCUCUGGGCCGUUCCUGACGCUGAGGCGCGAAAGCGUGGGGAGCUAACCGG